UUGAACGCUGGCGGCAUGCCUUACACAUGCAAGUCGAACGGUAGAGGGGCAACCCUUGAGAGUGGCGAACGGGUGAGUAAUAUAUCGGAACGUGCCCAGUCGUGGGGGAUAACGCAGCGAAAGCUGCGCUAAUACCGCAUACGAUCUAAGGAUGAAAGCGGGGGAUCGCAAGACCUUCGCGCGAUUGGAGCGGCCGAUAUCAGAUUAGGUAGUUGGUGGGGUAAAAGCCUACCAAGCCGACGAUCUGUAGCUG
rnacentral:rRNA from 1 species